rnacentral:rRNA from 1 species
UAGGGAAUCUUCGGCAAUGGGGGGAACCCUGACCGAGCAACGCCGCGUGAGUGAAGAAGGUUUUCGGAUCGUAAAGCUCUGUUGUUAAGGAAGAACGAGUGUGAGAAUGGAAAGUUCAUGCUGUGACGGUACUUAACCAGAAAGGGACGGCUAACUACGUGCCAGCAGCCGCGGUAAUACGUAGGUCCCGAGCGUUGUCCGGAUUUAUUGGGCGUAAAGCGAGCGCAGGCGGUUAGAUAAGUCUGAAGUUAAAGGCAGUGGCUCAACCAUUGUAGGCUUUGGAAACUGUUUAACUUGAGUGCAGAAGGGGAGAGUGGAAUUCCAUGUGUAGCGGUGAAAUGCGGAGAUAUAUGGAGGAACACCGGUGGCGAAAGCGGCUCUCUGGUCUGUAACUGACGCUGAGGCUCGAAAGCGUGGGGAGCGAACAGG